GCCGGGCAUGGUGGUGCAUGCCUGUAAUCCCAGCUACUCAGGAGGCUGAGGCAGGAGAAUCGUUUGGACCCAGGAGGCAGAGGUUGCAGUGAUAAUCAACCUCAGCUAUGAAAGCUGAGAUAGCACCACUGCACUCUAGCCUGGGCGACAGAGUGAGACUCUGUCUCCA
rnacentral:SRP_RNA from 1 species